AGACGGGAGGAGGCGCGUGUGUAGGGACAACGGGUACAUAUAGUAAUACUUGGAUAUCGAGCAUGCGUGUAUCUGUCUUCUUUACUGAGGCAAGCGACUCAAAAGAGGCCGACGUGCGUUUACCCUUCAGUUGCGUCAUUGCCAACAGACUACAGGUUACGUCAAGCAGUUUGUAGAGAAAAUAGUAGGUGGAACAACAAGUUGCUACGCUCGACAGGUUGGGUUAACCAUCUCUCCAAACGGGAAAGGCGUGAGCUACAACUGUUACAAGUUGUCCUUUUUUUGUUGACCAAAACUGUGAGAGAGGAGUGACGUUAGGUGGAGCGUGAAAAAAGUGCCGUUGACGACAAAGGCUGCUGCCGUUUCCACUCUCCAUUGUUGUAGGCCUCACAGAAUCUGUACUACAUUGUAACACAAUUUUUUGUUUUCAGCAUCCACAUAUUGGUGGUGCUGUUUUGGCAACACAAAAUAACGAGGGAUAAUAAUAGAUAUCCCGUUUUGAGGUCAUUGCUCUCGAAAAUCUUCACGGAUUCGGUUAUUGGUUGAUAUCAGACGACGAAGCCUGUUCAUUUUUAGUUUCGUUCAUCGAUUAAUGCCAAAUUUUCAUGUUCAUGAGAAAAUUAGAAAAAAAAAAAAAAUAAAAAUUGCAAAAACUUAUGCUCACGUGAAUGGGCCGUGACCUAAAGGGUAUGUGUAGUGUAUGACACGCAAGUGGCACGUUGCCCACUAAAUUUUCCAACCUUUUCUCUG